UGCUCUACAGCUCUAGUGGACGGAUGAUACAUUGAGAUAUGGGUUCUCUAGUAUAUUUAUAGAACGCUGAUGGGCAGGACUGCCAAUGCUUGAUGUACAUAUAAAACACAAGUAGUAUUAGUAGUUGUCGUAGUAGUACUGCAACUACCGAUUCCCAUUCAAACUUGUCUAGUAAUGCAGAGACUUUGACUAUUUCUUUGAAAGACACGGCCAAGUGCAUAUGUCAUCUCGAUCAAUGAAGAAACCAGGGAAUAUACCCGCUUCCACUAUUUCCAGUCAAAGUUCACUUCAAAGUUCAAACUGGAGCUUUAAUAUAUAAAUAGAUAGGUGUUGAUGAUUUCCAGUAUGCCGGCCAAUAUUUCGUUCCAUCUUGGUGCUAACUGACUAGGAUUUGCCCUCACAAAGGCGAUUCAGGAAGAAUGUUACCUAGCACUUGCCAUUUGAUUCAGUUGCUUACCAUGCUCAUGUUGUUCCUUGUGAUCUGCUUCUGCCUGCUUUCGAGCGGUUUGCCGCAGGUCAAUCCCGCAGCCACCAGAGGCGCCGCAACCGCAACCGGCUUGCCCUAUACCAGUGAGCAUAACCACUCCCCACGGAGAAACCGUAUACUCUACCAACCCCCCUGUAUCUCCCAGUGCCCGGACGGCCCCUUUUCACCUUCUAACGGCCAGCCCAAAGGCUACAUACCGAUCGCUCCCUGCGAACCACCGAUCUGCUGAUAAGAAUGGUACUGGUUCUAGACUAUGGAGCGUGCGAAUAUAUGGAUGGCCACUGGUCCGAGGCAUCUGUCAUUUGGACAAGCUGGUUUUAUUAAUGUUUCCACGAUCCAUUGCGCACCAAGUCUUCCGCCUAUAAGUUUAGCAUUCAUCACCAUACAUCAACUAUUUACUUCUGCAACUGUAGUUUGCUUAUCGAGAUUAUACCUUGUAAUUUCUAAGAUGUUUUUUUUAAGUAAUUGAAGAUUUGUUUUCUUAAUUUGGGAGAACCUGAAGUUUGCCAUUUCAAUUUUAUAUAUUAGUGAAAGAAUAUACAUGAGCUUGCCAUUUCAAUUUUAUAGGCAGAAAUUGAGUGCCAUGUACCAGCAAAUAAAGCCCAACUCUGCUCCAAAAGCCCAGUCAAUAUAUAUUUUGAAGUUUUUCUGAA